UCUGGCUCCAGGGACAGUUGUACUGAGCUUGGAUAAAACUCUCACUUCCCUCCAGUACAGAGCAGCUCACGUUCUUGUUCACGAUCGCUGCCUUAUGCAUCCAAGUCGACACGAAGGCGGCAGCAGGACAGGCCAAGGCUCCGCGCUUCCCAACAACUUCUGAAGCCCAGCAUCAAACUCUAUUACAGGAUACACCAAUGUUUGAAAGUGUUGAACUUUUGAUUUGCAAAGAGAAGAAAAUCCCCUAAGUCGAGAUGUUAC